AAAUGACUCUCGGCAACGGAUAUCUCGGCUCACGCAUCGAUGAAGAACGUAGCAAAAUGCGAUACUUGGUGUGAAUUGCA
rnacentral:rRNA from 1 species